UGGGGAAUAUUGCACAAUGGGCGCAAGCCUGAUGCAGCCAUGCCGCGUGUAUGAAGAAGGCCUUCGGGUUGUAAAGUACUUUCAGCGAGGAGGAAGGCGUUGUGGUUAAUAACCGCAACGAUUGACGUUACUCGCAGAAGAAGCACCGGCUAACUCCGUGCCAGCAGCCGCGGUAAUACGGAGGGUGCAAGCGUUAAUCGGAAUUACUGGGCGUAAAGCGCACGCAGGCGGUCUGUCAAGUCGGAUGUGAAAUCCCCGGGCUCAACCUGGGAACUGCAUCCGAAACUGGCAGGCUAGAGUCUUGUAGAGGGGGGUAGAAUUCCAGGUGUAGCGGUGAAAUGUGUAGAGAUCUGGAGGAAUACCGGUGGCGAAGGCGGCCCCCUGGACAAAGACUGACGCUCAGGUGCGAAAGCGUGGGGAGCAAACA
rnacentral:rRNA from 1 species